rnacentral:rRNA from 1 species
UACGUAGGGUGCAAGCGUUGUCCGGAAUUAUUGGGCGUAAAGAGCUUGUAGGCGGUUUGUCGCGUCUGCUGUGAAAUUUCGGGGCUCAACCCCGAACUUGCAGUGGGUACGGGCAGACUAGAGUGUGGUAGGGGAGACUGGAAUUCCUGGUGUAGCGGUGAAAUGCGCAGAUAUCAGGAGGAACACCGAUGGCGAAAGCAGGUCUCUGGGCCACUACUGACGCUGAGAAGCGAAAGCAUGGGGAGCGAACAGG